rnacentral:tRNA from 1 species
GCAUUGGUGAUUUAGUGAUAGAAUUCUUGCCUUCCAUACAGGAGACUCAGGUUCAGUUCCCAGUCAAUGCA